CCUACGGGAGGCAGCAGUGGGGGAUAUUGCACAAUGGGGGAAACCCUGAUGCAGCGACGCCGCGUGGGCGAAGUAGUAUUUCGGUAUGUAAAGCCCUAUCAGCAGGGAAGAAGAAAUGACGGUACCUGAGUAAGAAGCACCGGCUAAAUACGUGCCAGCAGCCGCGGUAAUACGUAUGGUGCAAGCGUUAUCCGGAUUUACUGGGUGUAAAGGGAGCGCAGGCGGCACGGCAGGCCUGAUGUGAAAGCCCACGGCCCAACCCGGGGACUGCAUUUGGAACUACCGGGCUGGAGUGCCGGAGGUGGAGGCGGAAUGCCUUGUGUAGCGGUGAAAUGCGUAGAUAUUAGGAGGAACACCAGUGGGGAAGGCGGCCUACUGGCCGGGGACUGACGCGGAGGCUCGAAGGCGUGGGGAGCGAACAGGAUUAGAUACCUGGGUAGUC
rnacentral:rRNA from 1 species